rnacentral:rRNA from 1 species
AGUGAACGCUUUCGGUCGGCCUAACACAUGCAAGUCGAACGGCAGCACAGUAAGAGCUUGCUCUUACGGGUGGCGAGUGGCGGACGGGUGAGGAAUACAUCGGAAUCUACUUUUUCGUGGGGGAUAACGUAGGGAAACUUACGCUAAUACCGCAUACGACCUACGGGUGAAAGCAGGGGAUCUUCGGACCUUGCGCGAUUGAAUGAGCCGAUGUCGGAUUAGCUAGUUGGCGGGGUAAAGGCCCACCAAGGCGACGAUCCGUAGCUGGUCUGAGAGGAUGAUCAGCCACCCUGGAACUGAGACACGGUCCAGACUCCUACGGGAGGCAGCAGUGGGGAAUAUUGGACAAUGGGCGCAAGCCUGAUCCAGCCAUACCGCGUGGGUGAAGAAGGCCUGCGGGUUGUAAAGCCCUUUUGUUGGGAAAGAAAAGCAGCAGGUUAAUACCCCGCUGUUCUGACGGUACCCAAAGAAUAAGCACCGGCGAACUUCGG